GACGAACGCUGGCGGCGUGCUUAACACAUGCAAGUCGAACGGUAAGGCCUUUCGGGGUACACGAGUGGCGAACGGGUGAGUAACACGUGGGUGAUCUGCCCUGCACUUCGGGAUAAGCCCGGGAAACUGGGUCUAAUUCCGGAUAGGACUGCGCGGUGCAUGCCGUGUGGUGGAAAGAUUUAUCGGUGCAGGAUGGGCCCGCGGCCUAUCAGCUUGUUGGUGGGGUAAUGGCCUACCAAGGCGACGACGGGUAGCCGGCCUGAGAGGGCGACCGGCCACACUGGGACUGAGACACGGCCCAGACUCCUACGGGAGGCAGCAGUGGGGAAUAUUGCACAAUGGGCGCAAGCCUGAUGCAGCGACGCCGCGUGAGGGAUGACGGCCUUCGGGUUGUAAACCUCUUUCAGCAGGGACGAAGCGUGAGUGACGGUACCUGCAGAAGAAGCACCGGCCAACUACGUG
rnacentral:rRNA from 1 species